GAUGAACGCUGGCGGCGUGCCUAAUACAUGCAAGUCGAGCGAACGGACGAGAAGCUUGCUUCUCUGAUGUUAGCGGCGGACGGGUGAGUAACACGUGGAUAACCUACCUAUAAGACUGGGAUAACUUCGGGAAACCGGAGCUAAUACCGGGUAAUAUUUUGAACCGCAUGGUUCAAAAGUGAAAGACGGUCUUGCUGUCACUUAUAGAUGGAUCCGCGCUGCAUUAGCUAGUUGGUAAGGUAACGGCUUACCAAGGCAACGAUGCAUAGCCGACCUGAGAGGUUGAUCGGCCACACUGGAACUGAGACACGGUCCAGACUCCUACGGGAGGCAGCAGUAGGGAAUCUUCCGCAAUGGGCGAAAGCCUGACGGAGCAACGCCGCGUGAGUGAUGAAGGUCUUCGGAUCGUAAAACUCUGUUAUUAGGGAAGAACAUAUGUGUAAGUAACUGUGCACAUCUUGACGGUACCUAAUCAGAAAGCCACGGCUAACUACGUG
rnacentral:rRNA from 1 species